rnacentral:rRNA from 1 species
AGCGAACGCUGGCGGCAGGCUUAACACAUGCAAGUCGAACGGGCAUCUUCGGAUGUCAGUGGCAGACGGGUGAGUAACACGUGGGAACGUACCCUUCGGUUCGGAAUAACUCAGGGAAACUUGAGCUAAUACCGGAUACGCCCUUUUGGGAAAGGUUUACUGCCGAAGGAUCGGCCCGCGUCUGAUUAGCUUGUUGGUGGGGUAACGGCCUACCAAGGCGACGAUCAGUAGCUGGUCUGAGAGGAUGAUCAGCCACACUGGGACUGAGACACGGCCCAGACUCCUACGGGAGGCAGCAGUGGGGAAUAUUGGACAAUGGGCGCAAGCCUGAUCCAGCCAUGCCGCGUGAGUGAUGAAGGCCUUAGGGUUGUAAAGCUCUUUUGUCCGGGACGAUAAUGACGGUACCGGAAGAAUAAGCCCCGGCUAACUUCGUG